AUGUGGCCCUUUUCAUCGUCCACUUCGUCGUUGGCUAAAACCAUGUUUAGCAUCGGCACUCCAGACGGCACGAUGGAGGGAAGCAGCAGCGAUUCGUCAUCGUCCAUCUCUCCGGCACCGCCGCCACGCAGCCCGCUCGACGUCGACGAGGAGUACGGCCGCGCGUUCAAGUCCAGGUCCUUCCUCGACCUCUGGUCGCACGCGCACCGCAGCCUCAGGCAGACGUUCAAGCUCUCCUCCUCCAGGCCCAGCACCAGCCUCGAAACGCUCGACGACGGCGCUGCGGCCCUGGAUAAGGAGCCGUCGUGCUCCUACACAAUUCUCGACGACUUCGAGCUGGAGCCGAGACCGGAGGCGCUCGCGCGGGCCGCUGGGCGUCGGCACCGGCGCCGGCGUCCGUGGGGGUGCCACCGACGCCACCGCGUCGAGGCGCUCCUGCUCGAGUACUUCGACGUGACCCGGGACGCCUGCGAGGCGUGCUCCGCGCUGCUCGCCGCCGUGGGCGCCGCGCGGAGGCACCACCUCGUGCUCCGGCGCCUGCUCCGCCGGCUGGACGUCGAAGGUGACGGCGAUGACAACACUACCACUGCCGCCAGGGAUGCGCUCGCGCUGCACGUCCGCCAAGACAACCCGCUCUCGCCGGCGGGCGGCAGGCUCGACGGGUUCCACGAGGCGCACGCGCGCUGCAGCCCGCUCUCCAAGCGUCUCGCCGCGGCGCGCCGCCGGCUGCGGAGGCUGGCCAAGGCGGCGCGCUUCGCCCGGUGCGCGGCCGCGACCGCGGUCGUCGGUGCGUCGGCCACGGUCGUGGUGGCCGCGGUGGUCCUAGCCGCGCACGCCGUCGUCGGCGUGGGCGCGGCCGCCGCGGUGGCCUUCUGCGCCACAUCCACCGAGCCCGUGGCGUGCCGGACGAAUACCGUCAAGAAGCUGUCCGGCCGGCUCCACGGGAGGCGAAGGCGGGGGCACGCACGCACGGGAGAGGAGGCGGUGGACGCGGCGGCGCGGGGAGCGUACAUCGUUGGGCGCGACCUCGACACGGUGAGCCGCAUGGUGCGGCGCGCGCACGACGAGCUGGAGCACGGGCGCGACAUGGCGCGCAUCGCCGUGGCGGGCCACGGCGAGCGGCCGCUGCUUGAGGAGGUGGCGCGGGAGGAGGAGGAGUGCGGGGAUGACCUGAGGUCUCAGCUGGAGGAGCUGGAGGAGCACGCCUGCCUCUGCCUCGUCACCAUCAACCGGAGCCGGAGGAUGGUGGCGCAAGAGAUGGAGCGCGCCGGGUAA
rnacentral:rRNA from 1 species